rnacentral:rRNA from 1 species
AAUAUUGGACAAUGGGGGCAACCCUGAUCCAGCCAUUCCGCGUGUGUGAAGAAGGUCUUCGGAUUAUAAAGCACUUUAAGUUGGGAGGAAGGGCUUUAGGCUAAUACCCUGAAGUUUUGACGUUACCAACAGAAUAAGCACCGGCUAACCCUGUGCCAGUAGCAGCGGUAAUACAGAGGGUGCAAGCGUUAAUCGGAAUGACGGGGAGUAAAUCGCGCGUAGGUGGUUCAGUAAGAUGGGUGUGAAAUCCCCGGGCUUAACCUGGGAACUGCUUUCAUAACUGCUGAGCUAGAGUACGGUAGAGGGUAGUGGAAUUUCCUGUGUAGCGGUGAAAUGCGUAGAUAUAGGAAGGAACACCAGUGGCGAAGGCGACUACCUGGACUGAUACUGACACUGAGGUGCGAAAGCGUGGGGAGCAAAC